rnacentral:rRNA from 1 species
AUACGGAGGAUGCGAGCGUUAUCCGGAUUCAUUGGGUUUAAAGGGUGCGUAGGCGGACUAUUAAGUCAGUGGUGAAAUCCUGCAGCUUAACUGCAGAACUGCCAUUGAUACUGAUAGCCUUGAGUUUGGUUAAGGUAGGCGGAAUGUGUAAUGUAGCGGUGAAAUGCUUAGAUAUUACACAGAACACCAAUUGCGUAGGCAGCUUACUGAGCCGACACUGACGCUGAGGCACGAAAGCGUGGGGAUCGAACAGGAUUAGAUACCCUGGUAGUCCACGCCGUAAACUAUGAUUACUCGCUGUUGGCGAUACACUGUCAGCGGCUAAGCAAAAGCAAUAAGUAAUCCACCUGGGGAGUACGGCCGCAAGGUUGAA